GUAAUUAUUACGUUUUUUUCAGACGCUGAUUGAAGAUUAAAAAGGUUAUAGAAUUGUCCAAUCGACAGGCAAGCCUGCCGAGGAAACAUGGGUACGCAAAAGACAAGGGUGGAGAAAAAGAGACCAGCUGCUCAUCAGCGAUUAAGCUAUACAGACUAACAGCCUCCUUUACAGUAGUAAACUACUGAGUGUAAUGAUCCUUCCGCAGGUUCACCUACGGAAA
rnacentral:misc_RNA from 1 species